rnacentral:rRNA from 1 species
GGCCUAACACAUGCAAGUCGAACGGCAGCACAGAGGAGCUUGCUCCUUGGGUGGCGAGUGGCGGACGGGUGAGGAAUACAUCGGAAUCUACUCUGUCGUGGGGGAUAACGUAGGGAAACUUACGCUAAUACCGCAUACGACCUACGGGUGAAAGCAGGGGAUCUUCGGACCUUGCGCGAUUGAAUGAGCCGAUGUCGGAUUAGCUAGUUGGCGGGGUAAAGGCCCACCAAGGCGACGAUCCGUAGCUGGUCUGAGAGGAUGAUCAGCCACACUGGAACUGAGACACGGUCCAGACUCCUACGGGAGGCAGCAGUGGGGAAUAUUGGACAAUGGGCGCAAGCCUGAUCCAGCCAUACCGCGUGGGUGAAGAAGGCCUUCGGGUUGUAAAGCCCUUUUGUUGGGAAAGAAAUCCAGCUGGCUAAUACCCGGUUGGGAUGACGGUACCCAAAGAAUAAGCACCGGC